rnacentral:tRNA from 1 species
AACGAUGUAGUUUAUUAAAAAUUGUGAGUUUGCGUCUCAAAGAUGGAACGUUGGUUCUCUUCGUUA